rnacentral:misc_RNA from 1 species
GAGACUCCUCUUCUUCAUGCUGCUAGGCAAGGGCACACUACUACUGUCCAGUACCUCUUGGAACAGGGUGCAGAUCCUGCAAUACCCAGCGCCUCGGGGGCAACAGCUUUGCAUCAUGCUGCAGGAAAUGGACAUGUUGAAUUGGUUAAGUUGUUACUGUCAAAGGGUGUAGAUGUUGAUUUACAAAGUGAGGCUGGAACACCGCUUAUGUGGGCUGCAGGUUUCGGCCAGGAAGAGGUUGUCAAGGUUUUGCUGGAACAUCAUGCUAAUGUUCAUACUCAAACAGAAGAUGAAAAUAAUGUCUGUCCUUUGGUAUCAGCUGUAGCAACCGAUUCAUUGCCUUGCGUGGAGCUGUUAGUGAAGGCAGGGGCUGAUGUCAAUGUUAGGACUGGUGAUGCAACUCCUUUGCUCAUUGCUGCUCAUAAUGGUAGUGCAGGAGUCAUUAACUGCUUACUACAAGCUGGAGCUGAUCCGAAUGCGGCUGAGGAGGAUGGUACCAAGCCAAUACAAGUUGCAGCUGCAAGCGGCAGUAGGGAAGCUGUUGAAGCUUUAUUGCCUGUCACAGAACGGAUUCAGAGUGUUCCAGAAUGGAGUGUGGAUGGAGUGAUUGAGUUUGUGCAAUCUGAAUAUAAGAGAGAACAGGAAAGAGCAGAAGCUGGGAGGAAAGCAAACAAGUCAAGAGAACCUAUUAUUCCAAAGAAAGAUUUACCUGAGGUGAGUCCUGAAGCAAAGAAGAAAGCUGCAGAUGCAAAGGCGAGGGCAGACGAGGCAUUUAAUAGGAAAGAUUUUGCUACAGCUAUAGAUACUUACACGCAGGCAAUCGAUUUUGAUCCAACUGAUGGCACUCUGUUUUCCAAUAGAAGUCUUUGUUGGCUCCGCCUGGGCCAAGCUGAACGCGCCUUAAGUGAUGCCAGGGCCUGCAGAGAACUUAGACCAGAUUGGGCAAAAGGUUGUUAUCGGGAAGGUGCAGCUCUACGUCUAUUGCAGAGGUUUGAAGAGGCAGCCAAUGCUUUCUAUGAGGGUGUACAGAUCAACCCUGAUAAUAUGGAACUCGUAACUGCUUUCAGGGAAGCUGUCGAGGCUGGUAGAAAAGUUCAUGCCACAAACAAGGUUGAUUCGCCGUCCUAGAGUUAGAAAGCGCAUAAUGAGAGAACAAUUGUCCGCUUCUUUUUUCCUGGGCGACAAGACUUUCGCUGGAGCAAGCUGAUUAUGGGGCAUGCCUUUUUUGGAUAGUUCCAAAUGGAUUAUAUAAUGGUGGAGAUGGGGUUGUAGAAGAAGAAGAAGAAAGAGAGAUUUUCAAAAGCUGUGUUCGCGUGUUAGCGAGCUGAUUUAUUGGACCCAGAGAACAGAGAAGAUCAAUUAAAAAAAUUGAAAAUUCAAAAAAAAAAAAGAAAAAUGCUUUGGAAAACGCGUUAUCUCAACUUCUUU